UAAGACGUAGGGUCCAAGCGUUGUCCGGAUUUACUGGGCGUAAAGAGCGCGUAGGCGGUCUGUUAAGUGUAGAGUGAAAUCUCCAGGGCUCAACCCGGAAACUGCUCUGCAUACUGGCAGACUUGAGGGUCGGAGAGGUAUAUGGAAUUCCUGGUGUAGCGGUGAAAUGCGUUGAUAUCAGGAGGAACACCCAUGGCGAAGGCAGUAUACUGGCCGGCAUCUGACGCUGAUGCGCGAAAGCGUGGGUAGCAAACAGGAUUAGAUACCCUGGUAGUCCACGCCCUAAACUAUGGAUACUAGGCGUAAGAGGUAUCGACCCCUCUUGUGCCGCAGCUAACGCACUAAGUAUCCCGCCUGAGGACUACGGCCGCAAGGUUG
rnacentral:rRNA from 1 species